rnacentral:rRNA from 1 species
UACGUAGGCAGCAAGCGUUGUUCGGAAUUACUGGGCGUAAAGAGUGUGUAGGCGGUGCUCUAAGUCUGUUGUGAAAUCUCCCGGCUCAACUGGGAGGGUGCGGCGGAAACUGGAGUGCUCGAGUGUGGGAGAGGUAAGCGGAAUUCCUGGUGUAGCGGUGAAAUGCGUAGAUAUCAGGAGGAACACCUGUGGUGUAGACAGCUUACUGGACCACGACUGACGCUGAUACACGAAAGCGUGGGUAGCAAACAGG